GGUCCUAUAGUUUAUAAUAAAAUUUGAGUUUGCAAAACUUACGAUGCUUUAGGCUAAGGCCU
rnacentral:tRNA from 1 species